rnacentral:rRNA from 1 species
UACGUAGGUGGCAAGCGUUGUCCGGAUUUACUGGGCGUAAAGAGCGCGCAGGCGGUCGGUCAAGUCGCGUGUGAAAGCCCCCGGCUCAACUGGGGAGGGUCACGCGAUACUGAUCGACUGGAAGGCAGGAGAGGGUAGUGGAAUUCCCGGUGUAGUGGUGAAAUGCGUAGAUAUCGGGAGGAACACCAGUGGCGAAGGCGACUACCUGGCCUGUUCUUGACGCUGAGGCGCGAAAGCUAGGGGAGCAACGGGG